CAACAGUAUAUGCCGAGUUCCCUAAUCAUUAGGGAAACGGGGGAACCACUUUGGGUGAAUUGACCUCCUGUUCGAAGAGGGGUCAUAGGGGACCUUCAACCGAACCCUUAAGCUAACCUCGUAGGCAUUGGAAGGGGUUUAC
rnacentral:sRNA from 2 species